rnacentral:rRNA from 1 species
AGAAUGGAAAUACAAGAAAACUCUUUAUUUACUUUAAAAAUUAAAGUUAUUUUUAUUUGUGAAGAAACAAUAAUUUAUAUUAGGGACAAGAAGACCCUAAGAAUUUUUAAUAAAAAGUUAUAUUGAAAUAUGAAACUUUUUAUUUUAAUUGGGGCGAUUUAACUAAAUAUUAAAAACUUUUUAAAAAAAAAAAUAUGAACCGUU